AGCGAACGUUGGCGGCGUGCUUAACACAUGCAAGUCGAGCGAGAAAGCACCCUUCGGGGUGUGAGUACAGCGGCGCACGGGUGAGUAACACGUGAGUAACGUGCCUUCAGGUUCGGAAUAACCACUCGAAAGGGUGGCUAAUGCCGGGUAAGACCACGACCUCUUCGGGGGAUGUGGCCAAAGUUCAGGCGCCUGAAGAUCGGCUCGCGUUCCAUUAGGUAGUUGGCGGGGUAAUGGCCCACCCAAGCCGAAGAUGGAUAGCUGGUCUGAGAGGAUGAUCAGCCACACUGGGACUGAGACACGGCCCAGACUCCUACGGGAGGCAGCAGU
rnacentral:rRNA from 1 species